rnacentral:rRNA from 1 species
CAGUCGAACGAGAAUCUUUGAACAGAUCUUUUCGGAGUGACGUUUAAAGAGGAAAGUUGCGGACGGGCGAGUAACGCGUGAGUAACCUGCCCAUAAGAGGGGGAUAAUCCAUGGAAACGUGGACUAAUACCGCAUAUUGUAGUUAAGUUGCAUGACUUGAUUAUAAAAGAUUUAUCGCUUAUGGAUGGACUCGCGUCAGAUUAGAUAGUUGGUGAGGUAACGGCUCACCAAGUCAACGAUCUGUAGCCGAACUGAGAGGUUGAUCGGCCGCAUUGGGACUGAGACACGGCCCAGACUCCUACGGGAGGCAGCAGUGGGGAAUAUUGCGCAAUGGGGGCAACCCUGACGCAGCAACGCCGCGUGCAGGAAGAAGGUCUUCGGAUUGUAAACUGUUGUCGCAAGGGAAGAAGACAGUGACGGUACCUUGUGAGAAAGUCACGGCUAACUACGUGCCAGCAGCCGCGGUAAUACGUAGGUGACAAGCGUUGUCCGGAUUUACUGGGUGUAAAGGGAGCGCAGGCGGGAAGACAAGUUGGAAGUGAAAUCUAUGGGCUCAACCCAUAAACUGCUUUCAAAACUGUUUUUCUUGAGUAGUGCAGAGGUAGGCGGAAUUCCCGGUGUAGCGGUGGAAUGCGUAGAUAUCGGGAGGAACACCAGUGGCGAAGGCGGCCUACUGGGCACCAACUGACGCUGAGGCUCGAAAGUGUGGGUAGCAAACAGGAUUAGAUACCCUGGUAGUCCACACCGUAAACGAUGAUUACUAGGUGUUGGAGGAUUGACCCCUUCAGU